GGAAGUUUUAUCACUUUGGCUCUACAUCACUUGGGAAGAUGUGCAGCAUCUGCGCAGCACUGUGCAUGCAGUGGAGACUGCUGAUAAGAAGGAACAGAUGGUAGCACCAUCCUGUCUCAGCACCAAACACUGUCUGGGAGAUGUAUGCAAUGUAAAAAGCAUCCCUGUGUGGAGAAGCAGAUAGUGCUCCUGCAAAGUCUCUUUAUCAGACAGAGAUGCGUUCGCUUUGUGAAUGGGAAACUGAAACAUGGAGAUAUUCUGACAGCUCCCAGGGAAGGAUGGAAACCCUCCUGUUCACAUCCUGGAGAUGACCCACUCAUCACAGCCCUGGGGAGAAGAUUCGUGUACCUGGUGCACAGGAGGCGCAGAGCAGGGCAGCUUGCAUCAUUCCCCUGCUGCUGGCAAGCAAUGUGCCCCAGCUUAUAGCAAAAAUACACGUGCAGAGGGAACCGAAGUUGAGCCUGCAGUCACCAAACUUGCCUGCACAAACUCCUUGGAAACAACUGUACACGUUGCAUCAAAAGAUACACAUCUUUUGCUCUCUCCUCUUGAGCACUGAAAGGAUAUUAUUUUGAAAGUGACUACAUCGCAGCCAUUUCUCAGCUCCUUUGCAAACAGAAGAGAACUUUGCAUUAAGAAGGGUUUUUUUGUGUGUGUGUGUGUGUUUGUUUGUUUGUUUUCUGAAAUUAAAUGUUUUUAUCCUUUCUUUUUUGGGGGGGAGGGGAGAAGAGUCAUUUUUAUAAGUUUAGAAAUAAAGAGGCAAAAGUUCUGUUCUGUGGUUUUUUG
rnacentral:lncRNA from 1 species